rnacentral:rRNA from 1 species
AUAACGGGUGACGGGGAAUUAGGGUUCGAUUCCGGAGAGGGUGCCUGAGAAAUGGCAACUACUUCCAAGGAAGGCAGCAGGCGCGCAAAUUACCCAAUACCAAUUCGGUGAGGUAGCGACAAAAAAUAACGAUGCCGGUCAAAUUUGACUGGCAAUCGGAAUGAGUCUAUUACAAAUAGAUUAGCGAGGAUCAAUUGGAGGGCAAGUCUGGUGCCAGCAGCCGCGGUAAUUCCAGCUCCAAUAGCGUAUAUUAAAGUUGUUGCAGUUAAAAAGCUCGUAGUCGGAUUUACCCUGGUUAAUUAACCGAGUAGGGCGGGAGCCCAUACCGGUAGUUACCAGGUAUUACGUCAAGAACAUCCGUACUCUGCCCUUAACUGAGUGGAGUCGGGACUUGACCGAUUACUUUGAAAAAAUUAGAGUGUUCAAAGCGGGUAAUUUUACCCAGAAUAUUUUAGCAUGGGAUAACAAAAUAAGGCUUCGGUAUAAUUUUGUUGGGUUAUUAACCGAGCAAUGAUUAAUAGAGAUAGUUUGGGGUGUUCAUAUUCCCCGGGGAGAGGUGAAAUUCUUGGAUCCGGGGAAGAUGUACUUAUGCGAAAGCAUUCACCAGGGAUGUUUUCAUUGAUCAAGAACGAAAGUUAGGGGAUCGAAGACGAUCAGAUACCGUCGUAGUCUUAACCGUAAACAAUACCGACCAGAGAUUGAGCGACGUUACACGGAUGACUCCCUCAGCACCUUGCGAGAAAUCACCAGUCUUUGGGUUCCGGGGGGAGUAUGGUCGCAAGGCUGAAACUUAAAGGAAUUGACGGAAGGGCACCACCAGGAGUGGAGCCUGCGGCUUAAUUUGACCCAACACGGGAGAACUUACCAAGUCCAGACAUAGCUAGGAUUGACAGAUUAAGAGCUCUUUCUUGAUUCUAUGGGUGGUGGUGCAUGGCCGUUCUUAGUUGGUGGAGUGAUUUGUCUGGUUAAUUCCGAUAACGAACGAGACAUCAGCGGCUAACUAGAACUGAGAAGCGUCUAAUAGGGUGAAGUUUUGUGGAAUCCUUCACGGGUGACUGCAUUAUGGAUCCCUGAUGUCUUUGUCAGUUCUUCUUAUCCGGACUGUGUGGGCUUACCACACGGAAGCUUGAUGCAAUAACAGGUCUGUGAUGCCCUUAGAUGUCUUGGGCUGCACGCGCGUUACAAUGACCAUGU